AAUGUACUCCCUCCGUCCGAAAAAAGCUUGUCCAUCAAAUGGAUGUAUCUAGCACCAAGAUAGUGCUAGAUACAUCCAUUUGAGGAACAAGCUUGGGACAAGCUUUUUCGGACGGAGGGGGUACUAG
rfam:Triticum aestivum genome assembly, contig: Triticum_aestivum_CS42_TGACv1_scaffold_436998_5DL